AACAUCGCGCACCUGCGGGAACCUGCGGAAGGAUCAUUACAGAGUUGCAAAACUCCCCAAACCAUUGUGAACGUUACCUAAACCGUUGCUUCGGCGGGCGGCCCGGGUCCUUCCCGGCGCCCCUCGGCCCUCGCGGGCGCCCGCCGGAGGUAAACCAAACUAUUGCAUUGUAUGGCCUCUCUGAGUCUUCUGUACUGAAUAAGUCAAAACUUUCAACAACGGAUCUCAGAUCGGAAGAGC
rnacentral:misc_RNA from 1 species